rnacentral:lncRNA from 1 species
GACCUGUGUCUGCCCAGACUUACCUCAGGGAUGGAGACCUGAGAGUUCUAAGCUGAAGGGAAACUGAGACUGAGAGAUGUCUGCUGCAAACACGUCCCCACCCACUAUGACCUGAGUGUGCCCCCAGGGCUCACUCUCCCCUGGCCUGCAGUGCUUUUUCUCUGGGUUUGCUGGAGAAUAGAGAUGGGAAAAGCUACAGUCUCUGAACCCAACUGAAACAGGCUGCCCUGCACUCUGGACAGACCGAUCCCUGGCAGUGGCAGGUGUGCGGAUCUGCAAGUGUGUGCAUGUACCUGAGCGUCCCACGGAGUGUGGGCUUGAGAGAAGGCACCCACCUUCUGUCAGCUAUCAGCUGACUUCACUUAAACAGCAAGGGAACAGAAGAGAGGAGAGGAAUGCUGGCUGGGACAUUCACAGACACCUUCCGAUCUGACAGGGGCAGGAUGUUUGGUUUAAUUCUGAAGACUGGAGAGGGUAUAAACAGGAGAGCCGGUGGCAGCUGCCGCUCCCCCUGCUGCUGCUGCUGCUGCUGCUUUUGCUAUUGCUGGAUUUCUGGUUGGAGAUAUCCUGAUGACAGAGAUUGGACUUGUCACCAAGGAACCGGACACCCCUAAUGAGCAGGACGUAGUCUAAAGAGACCCCAGCUCAGCAUGAAACUGGACCAACUCCUGGCGGACUACCCAGCACUGAGUCACAGCAGCACCGUGCUGACCCAAGGGAGCUACAGAGUUCAACUACUGAAAAUACAAGCCAGUCCCUAGAGCCACCAGGUUCGGACUUCAAUGUAUACUUUGUGGGUUCAGUUCAACUCCACCACGCUUGUACAUGUAUGACUGGCUUCUGUCCCUGGACUAUCCCCCUUCUCCUUGAGUCAGGACUCUCUAGUAUGGAUUUACUUCACUGAAGCAGACACACGAGAGGAUGUUUUGCUGAGAACAGACACGUGGCGUUUUUCCGGAAGCUGCCUUGUGAGAGGGCAUGUGAUGUUUUGCUGAAACAGACACUGGAGAGGGAACAUGGGGUUUAAAAUGAAUAAAGAAGUACCAAAGAGCUUUGGGUGGUAAUCUGGCUGCUUUGCGCCACUUCUGGGGACUUACGGAGAUAUGGCAGAGCCUUACAGUUUCUUCUGGAUCAAACCACUGCUACUGGAUCCUGUUGGGUGUUUUCCGAUUGGGUUGGACGCCACUAUUGAUUCAUGGUUGAUGUUUUGGGCUGAACUGCUGAUAUCCUGACCACAAAAUUGAAAUCCCUCUUGUCCUAUAAACUGUCUUCUUCCUCUACCUCUGGUCAGUGUGAUAGAAGGGAAGUGAAGGUGUUUAAGAACCCUAAGUAAAGUAGAUUUUG